rnacentral:rRNA from 1 species
CAGUCGCCGCGGGAAUACGUAGGGUGCGAGCGUUAAUCGGAAUUACUGGGCGUAAAGCGUGCGCAGGCGGUUCGUUAAGACAGAUGUGAAAUCCCCGGGCUUAACCUGGGAACUGCAUUUGUGACUGGCGAGCUAGAGUAUGGCAGAGGGGGGUAGAAUUCCACGUGUAGCAGUGAAAUGCGUAGAGAUGUGGAGGAAUACCGAUGGCGAAGGCAGCCCCCUGGGCCAAUACUGACGCUCAUGCACGAAAGCGUGGGGAGCAAACAGGAUUAGAUACCCCCGUAGUCCCUGUCUCUAUACC